UAUUUGUCUUUCUUUGGUGUUGA
rnacentral:snRNA from 1 species